rnacentral:rRNA from 1 species
AGGAUUUCCUUAGUAACGGCGAGUGAAA